CCGGUUCAUCGCUCGCGGUGUUUAACUGGCGUGUCCGCGGGACGUCCUGCCGGUGGGCUCAGCCUCCUCCUCUCUGGGGUGGGGGCGGCCCAACUUCAAAUCCCACCGCGGUGCUCUUUGCCGAGUGUCGAGGUGGGCCGGCACGUUUACUUUGAACAAAUUAGAGUGCUUAAAGCAGGCUAAAACUUCGCCUGAAUACUGUGUGCAUGGAAUAAUGGAAUAGGACCUCGGUUCUAUUUUGUUGGUUUUCGGAACUCCGAGGUAAUGAUUAAUAGGAACGGAUGGGGGCAUUCGUAUUGCGACGUUAGAGGUGAAAUUCUUGGAUCGUCGCAAGACGGACAGAAGCGAAAGCAUUUGCCAAAAACGCUUUCAUUGAUCAAGAACGAAAGUUAGAGGUUCGAAGGCGAUCAGAUACCGCCCUAGUUCUAACCAUAAACGAUGCCAGCUAGCGAUCCGCCGACGUUCCUCCGAUGACUCGGCGGGCAGCUUCCGGGAAACCAAAGCUUUUGGGUUCCGGGGGAAGUAUGGUUGCAAAGCUGAAACUUAAAGGAAUUGACGGAAGGGCACCACCAGGAGUGGAGCCUGCGGCUUAAUUUGACUCAACACGGGAAACCUCACCAGGCCCGGACACCGGAAGGAUUGACAGAUUGACAGCUCUUUCUUGAUUCGGUGGGUGGUGGUGCAUGGCCGUUCUUAGUUGGUGGAGCGAUUUGUCUG
rnacentral:rRNA from 1 species